GACGAACGCUGGCGGCGUGCUUAACACAUGCAAGUCGAACGGUGAAGCGUCUUCCUUUUUGGUGGGUGUGGAUGAGUGGCGAACGGGUGAGUAACACGUGAGUAACCUGCCCCCUUCUUCUGGAUAACCGCAUGAAAGUGUGGCUAAUACGGGAUAUUCUGGGUCUGUCGCAUGAUGGGUCUGGGAAAGAUAUUGUUUCGGUGGGGGAUGGGCUCGCGGCCUAUCAGCUUGUUGGUGGGGUGAUGGCAUACCAAGGCGGUGACGGGUAGCCGGCCUGAGAGGGUGGACGGUCACACUGGGACUGAGACACGGCCCAGACUCCUACGGGAGGCAGCAGUGGGGAAUAUUGCACAAUGGGCGCAAGCCUGAUGCAGCGACGCCGCGUGAGGGAUGGAGGCCUUCGGGUUGUGAACCUCUUUCGCCAGUGAAGCAGGCCUGCCUCGUUUGUGGGUGGGUUGACGGUAGCUGGAUAAGAAGCGCCGGCUAACUACGUG
rnacentral:rRNA from 1 species